rnacentral:rRNA from 1 species
AUUGAACGCUGGCGGCAUGCCUUACACAUGCAAGUCGAACGGUAACAGGUCUUCGGAUGCUGACGAGUGGCGAACGGGUGAGUAAUACAUCGGAACGUGCCUAGUAGUGGGGGAUAACUACUCGAAAGAGUGGCUAAUACCGCAUGAGAUCUACGGAUGAAAGCAGGGGAUCGCAAGAACUUGUGCUACUAGAGCGGCAAAUGGCAGAUUAGGUAGUUGGUGGGAUAAAAGCUUACCAAGCCGACGAUCUGUAGCUGGUCUGAGAGGACGAUCGGCCACACGGGGGGUGGGACACGGCCCAGACGCCUACGGGAGGCAGCAGGGGAGAAUUUUGCACACUGGGCGCAAGCGUGAUCCAGCAAGGCCGCGUGCAGGAUGAAGGCCUUCGGGUUGUAGACUGCUUUUGUACGGAACGAAAAGCCCUGGGUUAAUACCCUGGGGUCAUGACGGUACCGUAAGAAUAAGCACCGGCUAACUACGUGCCAGCCGCCGCGGUAACAC